AGCUGUAUAGCAUAGUGGUUUGAGUACUAGACUAUGACUCUGGAGACCAGGAUUCAAAUCCUGGCUCAGCCA